rnacentral:rRNA from 1 species
AGCGAACGCUGGCGGCAGGCUUAACACAUGCAAGUCGAGCGGGCGUAGCAAUACGUCAGCGGCAGACGGGUGAGUAACGCGUGGGAACGUACCUUUUGGUUCGGAACAACACAGGGAAACUUGUGCUAAUACCGGAUAAGCCCUUACGGGGAAAGAUUUAUAGCCGAAAGAUCGGCCCGCGUCUGAUUAGCUAGUUGGUGAGGUAACGGCCCACCAAGGCGACGAUCAGUAGCUGGUCGGAGAGGAUGAUCAGCCACAUUGGGACUGAGACACGGCCCAAACUCCUACGGGAGGCAGCAGUGGGGAAUAUUGGACAAUGGGGGCAACCCUGAUCCAGCCAUGCCGCGUGAGUGAUGAAGGCCCUAGGGUUGUAAAGCUCUUUUGUGCGGGAAGAUAAUGACGGUACCGCAAGAAUAAGCCCCGGCUAACUUCGUGCCAGCAGCCGCGGUAA